rnacentral:misc_RNA from 1 species
GAUGAAGAACGCAGCAAAAUGCGAUAAGUAAUGUGAAUUGCAGAAUUCAGUGAAUCAUCGAAUCUUUGAACGCACAUUGCGCCCGCCAGUAUUCUGGCGGGCAUGCCUGUCCGAGCGUCAUUUCAACCAUCAAGCCCCCGGGCUUGUGUUGGGGACCUGCGGCUGCCCGCAGGCCCUGAAAACCAGUGGCGGGCUCGCUGUCACACCGAGCGUAGUAGCAAUCACCUCGCUCAGGGCGUGCUGCGGGUUCCGGCCGUUAAACAGCCUUACAAAACCCAAGGUUGACCUCGGAUCAGGUAGGAAGACCCGCUGAACUUAAGCAUAUCAAUAAGCGGAGGA